GUCUGUGGCCAUGCCACUCUGAACAAGCCCAAUCCCAUCUGAUCUCACAAUAAGCAGGGUCGGGCCUGGUUAGCACUUGGAUAGGAGACCACCUAGGAACACCAAGUGCUGUAGGCA
rnacentral:rRNA from 1 species